rnacentral:sRNA from 1 species
CGGUCUCGAUCUGCUGUGGAGAGAUAAAGUGAAUGUGUGUAUCGAUACCGCCAGCAGUAAGGAUAUAACCUGCACCUCCGUGCACUUCUGUCGAAGCUCCAAUGACCAUUCCUUUGGUUACACCAUCCUGUACGUCAGGGUUACCUGCUUUUCCGAUACCAACAAUUUUACCACCCUUAAUACCAACAUCAGCUUUCACAAUACCCCAGUGGUCAAUAAUGAUCACAUUGGUAAUACAGAAGUCUAAAACAUCCUCAUCACGCAGGGCACGGGCAGAUUGCCCCAUACCAUCACGGAUCG